rnacentral:rRNA from 1 species
AUUGAACGCUGGCGGAAUGCUUUACUCAUGCAAGUCGAACGGCAGCACGGACUUCGGUCUGGUGGCGAGUGGCGAACGGGUGAGUAAUGUAUCGGAACGUGCCCAGUCGUGGGGGAUAACGUAGUGAAAAUUACGCUAAUACCGCAUACGAUCUAUGGAUGAAAGCGGGGGAUCGCAAGACCUCGCGCGAUUGGAGCGGCCGAUAUCAGAUUAGGUAGUUGGUGGGGUAAAGGCCCACCAAUCCAACGAUCUGUAGCUGGUCUGAGAGGACGACCAGCCACACUGGAACUGAGACACUGUCCAGACUCCUACGGGAGGCAGCAGUGGGGAAUUUUGGACAAUGGGCGAAAGCCUGAUCCAGCCAUUCCGCGUGCAGGAUGAAGGCACUCGGGUUGUAAACUGCUUUUGUACAGAACGAAAAUGUUUCUACUAAUACUAGAAGCUCAUGACGGUACUGUAAGAAUAAGCACCGGCUAACUACGUGCCAGCCGCCGCGGUAA